GUGAUGGAUGCACCUGGAAGGGGACCCUGAAAGAAUACGAGAGCUGCCACGAGGGCCGCUGCCCGCUCAUGCUGACCGAAUGUCCCGCGUGCAAAGGCCUGGUCCGCCUUGGUGAAAAGGAGCGCCACCUGGAGCACGAGUGCCCGGAGAGAAGCCUGAGCUGCCGGCAUUGCCGGGCGCCCUGCUGCGGAGCAGACGUGAAGGCGCACCACGAGGUCUGCCCCAAGUUUCCCUUAACUUGUGACGGCUGCGGCAAGAAGAAGAUCCCCCGGGAGAAGGUGAGUGUCCUUCACCUCCUUGGAGGACCGCGGGGCGGGGCCCAUGUGUUGGACGUGAGGGUCCCGUGGGUGGGGGUGGGGCAGGUUAUGACCCUUGUGCCC
rnacentral:sRNA from 1 species